UACGGAGGAUGCGAGCGUUAUCCGGAUUUAUUGGGUUUAAAGGGUGCGCAGGCGGGAUCUUAAGUCAGCGGUGAAAUCUCCAGGCUCAACCUGGAACCUGCCGUUGAAACUGGGAUUCUUGAGUGUAGAUGAAGUAGGCGGAAUUCGUUGUGUAGCGGUGGCAUGCUUAGAUAUAACGAGGAACUCCGAUUGCGUAGGCAGCUUACUAAACUAUAACUGACGCUCAUGCACGAAAGCGUGGGGAUCAAACAGG
rnacentral:rRNA from 1 species